GCACGCAAUAUGCUCGUACAAAGGCUUAGUUGAAGAAACGCAUUCGUCAAAAAUAUUACACAAAAGCUUCUGAAAUACUCUGGUAAGUAUACAAAUUUUAUAUUUGAACUUUUUUAUCUUUAUGUUGUGAUGAAAUUGCCUUUGCACAUUUCAGUAUGCCUAGGCAACUGGCAAAUUUAAGUAGCUUAGCAGUCCAUGCAAGAGUGUUGUAUUUUUAAAACCGAAACGACGCGAUGUCCCGUUUAAUCAUGUUUGAAAC